ACGGGAGGCAGCAGUGAGGGAUAUUGGUCAAUGGAGGCAACUCUGAACCAGCCAUCUCGCGUGAAGGAAUACGGCCCUAUGGGUCUUAAACUUCUUUUAUAGGGGGAUAAGUGAGAUACGCGUAUCUUUUUGUAGGUACCCUAUGAAUAAGCAUCGGCUAACUCCGUGCCAGCAGCCGCGGUAAUACGGAGGAUGCGAGCGUUAUCCGGAUUUAUUGGGUUUAAAGGGUGCGCAGGCGGCACGUUAAGUCAGCGGUGAAAUGUCGGGGCUCAACCCGGGCACUGCCGUUGAAACUGGCGAGCUUGAGUACGGAUGAAGUCGGCGGAAUGUGAAGUGUAGCGGUGAAAUGCUUAGAUAUGUCACAGAACACCGAUUGCGAAGGCAGCUGGCUAAUCCGAAACUGACGCUCAGGCACGAAAGCAUGGGGAUCGAACAGGAUUAGAUACCCUGGUA
rnacentral:rRNA from 1 species